rnacentral:rRNA from 1 species
UACGUAGGGGGCAAGCGUUGUCCGGAAUCAUUGGGCGUAAAGCGCGCGUAGGCGGCCCUGUAAGUCCGUUGUGAAAGUCAAAGGCUCAACCUUUGAAAGCCGAUGGAUACUGCAGGGCUAGAGUACGGAAGAGGCGAGUGGAAUUCCUGGUGUAGCGGUGGAAUGCGCAGAUAUCAGGAGGAACACCAAUAGCGAAGGCAGCUCGCUGGGCCGUUACUGACGCUGAGGCGCGAAAGCGUGGGGAGCGAACAGG